UACGUAGGGUGCGAGCGUUGUCCGGAAUUAUUGGGCGUAAAGGGCUCGUAGGCGGUUUGUCGCGUCGGGAGUGAAAACCUUGGGCUUAACUCAGGGCUUGCUUUCGAUACGGGCAGACUAGAGGUAUGCAGGGGAGAACGGAAUUCCUGGUGUAGCGGUGAAAUGCGCAGAUAUCAGGAGGAACACCGGUGGCGAAGGCGGUUCUCUGGGAAUGUACUGACGCUGAGGAGCGAAAGUGUGGGGGAGCGAACAGG
rnacentral:rRNA from 1 species